rnacentral:lncRNA from 1 species
CAGGAAGUGACCUCACAGGCUCGCGUCGGUGCGGGAUGCGCGUGCGCCCGGCGUCGGCUUGCGGUUGCUAGGCGACGCGCUGGGGUCCUUGCACUCCGUCAGAGGGCGCUGAGCGGUCGGAUUGCUCGCGGCGGCGGCUCCCAAAGGGGAAACUGAGGGGGCGGGUUGUCGAGGGGCGUCCGGAGAACGCCGGAAAGAGCCGGGAUGUCGGCCUCCGAGACUGCAGUGUCGAGACUGUCAUCAUCUGAAAGCAAAGUUAAUGGCAUGAUUAUGAGGCACUAGCAGAUCACUAACUAGUUCUUCUGACAAACCACGAAUGCCUCCAACUGCUCCAUGUUUCCUCGCCCUUUGUUGGUGUCUGAACCUGCCUCCAUCCCACACUGCCAGCUUCAGCUCAGUCCGGGAGCUUCCUUCAGCAUGAAGACUCAGGAUCUUUUGUUCAUUAAGGAACUGCCUACACUUUCCCCAAGAAACCUUGCAACAAAAGUUGUUUUGGCUGACUGAUCCUUACAAAGGUAAGACCACACUGCUGUAAGGGCAGGUGCUCUGGUUGCCUUCCUGCUAUCUCCAGGGCAUUUCCAUCUUUUCUUCUGGGUAAUUUUAACAGCAAAAGGAUUACUUCAAUUCUUUACACCUCUGCAAUUGUUACUGAUUUA